rfam:Lachnospiraceae bacterium 28-4 genomic scaffold acPFn-supercont1.2, whole genome shotgun sequence.
UUGCUUUUCAUCAGCAAUUUCACUUAUGAAAUGGUCGAACCCCCAGGGAAUAAUUGCCAUGGAUGGCAAUUAUAGGAAAUGCAGGGCAUGGAUGCCCUUCAUUUCCGACCCGGCCAGUUUGACAAAAUUCCAUCCAUUUCAUUAGUGAAAUCUGAUGAAAAGAUC